GACGAACGCUGGCGGCGUGCUUAACACAUGCAAGUCGAACGAUGAAGCCGCAGCUUGCUGUGGUGGAUUAGUGGCGAACGGGCGAGUAACACGUGAGUAACCUGUCCUUUUCUUUGGGAUAACGGCUGGAAACGACUGCUAAUACCGCAUGAUACUUUUUGGGGGCAUCCCCGAAAAGUCAAAGCUUUAUGUGCUGAAAGAUGGUCUCGCGUCUGAUUAGCUAGUUGGUGAGGUAAUGGCUCACCAAGGCGACGAUCAGUAGCCGGUCUGAGAGGAUGAACGGCCACAUUGGGACUGAGAUACGGCCCAG
rnacentral:rRNA from 1 species